rnacentral:lncRNA from 1 species
GCCAGUUGUACACCGGCUCCCGCUGCAGCCCUCCGCCCGGGCCGCCCGCCGGGGCCGCCCCCACUCCCGGGCCUCCUCCUCCUCCUCCCGCUCCUCCCGCCGCCGCCGCCGGGUUGUUGGCUCCGCACUGGUUGUAGGGCUGUGCCAGGCGUAGGAUCGGAGCUGGGAGACCCCGCACAGCUGAGGGAUCUCCUGGGACCAAUCUGUGGCUGCACACACCGGCGUGGAUCGACGGCUUUGCGUCACGUUAUCGCAUAUCUGCUCCUGCUGCAUUGCACACCGGCAGGUUUCUGCUGCAUUAUCCUAAUUGGGGGAACUCCCAUUCCCACAGCUAUGCUGGGGCCCAGAGCCGGCCAUUAACUGACCCUUCUGGCACCCGAUCUGCAUGCAGGAAUGCACGGUGGCCUCGAGAGGGACGCUGCUUUUCCCUCUGAAAUCUUUCUGCUAUUACUGAUAACUGAGCACUGAAUAUGGACGCGCUCUCUUUCAAAAGCACCACGUCCUUCUCCUUGCAGCACGGCGCAGACUCACACCCCGUUGCUGGCAGAGCUGCUUCCACGCAUUUCAGCAUUGGUUUUUUUUGCUCAAAACUGUGUUUUCUGCUCUCUCCUGCUUGUGUUUCACUGCCUCGUCAGGGCUGCAAACAUCAGAGGGAGCUGCAGGCUGCUGCUCGGCCCCGUGUGCGGCUGCAAGGGUGGACACCGCGUGGAGCAAGCAGCACCGGCCCUUGGCCACCGUGCAGGCGGCUAAUUAGAGCCCUGCGUGUGAUGAAAUAAAUGAAAAUGAGUCAUUUUGUGGUGGUGGCCUGAUGGAAAGAAGCCCAGGAGGGAAGGGAUCGUAUGGACAGUGCAGGAAUGUGCUCGGGGUGCUGUCACACCCAGGCAGGGGUGCAGAAAGGACGGGGAGAAGCGGCUGCCCGUCCCUGGAGUGAAGCAGAAGUGAUCAGCAGUGUUAUUAGACAAAGAGGCGCCGUCAGAAACAGUGCCAUCUGGGAGGCUUCGACUUCCCCGAAAUAAAGCUGAGAACAAACGCUCCUAAAAACGGCACCGUGCUGCUAUUUCUAGACCUGAUCACCACCAGAUUGCUUUACCAAUCAGGCGCUCGCAGCCGGCUCAGCACAACGAGCAGCCCGAGCACAGCCACGCUGCAGGAAGCAGAGGACAUCCUACGUUGCUCUGCGCUGUGGAGGUGCAUUCCAAGCAGAAGAUGGGAACAGAGACCCACAGAAGCGUCACCCAGCCAGCCCCAAGCAGAGGCAGCGGGGUACAAUGCGUCAGCCCAGCUUUGGCAGUCUUCAUCCAUUGUAAAGCGGAGAAAAUCCCCCCAUUUCCAUUAAAAAAAAAGAAGUUAGCUUCACAGUACAAGUUUCUACCCAGUCCUACGUCAGGUUAGUGGGGCCGGAGGGGGAGUGCAGGGAUGGGAAGGGGGCAAAAUGCUUAAAGUUUCCAGCUUCAAAACUAUCGUAACAUCUGGUUUCUGGGAUAGGUGCUCUGUGGGGCUUUGCAGGAGUGGGUGAAGGGCUUUGGGGAGCACCCAUGGGUGCCACAGGGCUGAUCCUGGAGGUGGGGGACAGCCCAGCCCCACAGCCCAGCCCUGUGCUGCUCCCACCCCACAGCAGACCUCGGGAACCCCAGCCCGAGGUGUUGGCUGCGCAUCCUUCCAGCAGUUCUUAAUAUAAGACAACGAGGAAUCAUCCACGACUGAUAGCACAAAGUAAGCGAUCCAUGUCACAACGUACAAUCAAGAUGGAUUUUCUGUUUUUCCUCGGGGG